rnacentral:rRNA from 1 species
CGAGGGGCAGCGGGGAGCAAGCUUGCUUGCUCUGCCGGCGACCGGCGUACGGGUGAGUAACACGUAUGCAACCUGCCCUCCGCAGGGGGAUAACCCGGAGAAAUCCGGACUAAUACCGCGUGGUACAUCUGUGGGGCAUCCCACGGGUGUUAAAAGGAAGCGAUUCCGGCGGAGGAUGGGCAUGCGGCGCAUUAGCUUGUUGGCGGGGUAACGGCCCACCAAGGCGACGAUGCGUAGGGGUUCUGAGAGGAAGGUCCCCCACACUGGUACUGAGACACGGACCAGACUCCUACGGGAGGCAGCAGUGAGGAAUAUUGGUCAAUGGGCGGGAGCCUGAACCAGCCAAGUCGCGUGAGGGAAGACGGUCCUAUGGAUUGUAAACCUCUUUAGGCGGGGAGCAAUGCCGGGCACGCGUGCCCGGAGGGAGAGUACCCGCAGAAUAAGCAUCGGCUAACUCCGUGCCAGCAGCCGCGGUAAUACGGAGGAUGCGAGCGUUAUCCGGAUUUAUUGGGUUUAAAGGGUGCGUAGGCGGAUUUUUAAGUCAGCGGUAAAAUGUCCGGGCUCAACCCGGGCCGGCCGUUGAAACUGGGGAUCUUGAGUGGGCGAGAAGUAUGCGGAAUGCGUGGUGUAGCGGUGAAAUGCAUAGAUAUCACGCAGAACUCCGAUUGCGAAGGCAGCAUACCGGCGCCCGACUGACGCUGAGGCACGAAAGCGUGGGGAUCGAACAGGAUUAGAUACCCUGGUAGUCCACGCAGUAAACGAU